rnacentral:tRNA from 1 species
GGUCGUAGCUCAGUGGGUUGAGUGCUUGACUUGAAUGUGUGAGGCACUGGGUUCGAUCCUCAGCACCA